AUUGAACGCUGGCGGCAGGCCUAACACAUGCAAGUCGAGCGGUAACACAGAGGAGCUUGCUCCUUGGGUGACGAGCGGCGGACGGGUGAGUAAUGCCUGGGGAUCUGCCCGAUAGAGGGGGAUAACUACUGGAAACGGUGGCUAAUACCGCAUAACGUCGCAAGACCAAAGUGGGGGACCUUCGGGCCUCACGCCAUCGGAUGUGCCCAGAUGGGAUUAGCUAGUAGGUGGGGUAAUGGCUCACCUAGGCGACGAUCCCUAGCUGGUCUGAGAGGAUGACCAGCCACACUGGAACUGAGACACGGUCCAGACUCCUACGGGAGGCAGCAGUGGGGAAUAUUGCACAAUGGGCGCAAGCCUGAUGCAGCCAUGCCGCGUGUGUGAAGAAGGCCUUCGGGUUGUAAAGCACUUUCAGCGAGGAGGAAGGCAUCACACUUAAUACGUGUGGUGAUUGACGUUACUCGCAGAAGAAGCACCGGCUAACUCCGUGCCAGCAGCCGCGGUAAUACGGAGGGUGCAAGCGUUAAUCGGAAUUACUGGGCGUAAAGCGCACGCAGGCGGUUUGUUAAGUCAGAUGUGAAAUCCCCGAGCUCAACUUGGGAACUGCNUUUGAAACUGGCAAGCUAGAGUCUUGUAGAGGGGGGUAGAAUUCCAGGUGUAGCGGUGAAAUGCGUAGAGAUCUGGAGGAAUACC
rnacentral:rRNA from 1 species